UACGUAGGGUGCGAGCGUUGUCCGGAAUUAUUGGGCGUAAAGAGCUCGUAGGCGGCUUGUUGCGUCGGCUGUGAAAACCCAUGGCUCAACCGUGGGCUUGCAGCCGAUACGGGCAGGCUAGAGUUCGGUAGGGGAGACUGGAAUUCCUGGUGUAGCGGUGAAAUGCGCAGAUAUCAGGAGGAACACCUGUGGCGAAAGCGGCUUCCUGGUCCAGCACCGACGUUCAGGCACGAAAGCGUGGGGAGCAAACAGG
rnacentral:rRNA from 1 species